AUACGGAGGAUGCGAGCGUUAUCCGGAUUUAUUGGGUUUAAAGGGUGCGUAGGCGGUCGGGCAAGCGUAGGGUGAAAGUCCUCUGCUCAACAGAGGAAGUGCCUUCCGAACUGUCCGACUGGAAUGCUCCUGCCGUGGGAGGAAUGUGUGGUGUAGCGGUGAAAUGCUUAGAUAUCACGAAGAACUCCGAUUGCGAAGGCAGCUCACUGGACUGCAACUGACACUGAUGCUCGAAAGUGUGUGUAUCAAACAGGAUUAGAUACCCUGGUAGUCCACACAGUAAACGAUGAAUACUCGCUGUUUGCGAUAUACAGUAAGCGGCCAAGCGAAAGCAUUAAGUAUUCCACCUGGGGAGUACGCCGGCAACGGUGAAACUCAAAUGAAUUGGCGGG
rnacentral:rRNA from 1 species